GGUUGAUCCUGCCAGUAAUCAUAUGCUUGUCUUAAAGACUAAGCCAUGCAAGUCUAAGGAUAAAUAAUUUUAUCGUAAACCUGCAAACGGCUCAUUAAAUCAGUUUUAAUCUACUUUAUUAUAUAAUCCUAAAUGGAUAACUGUAGUAAUUCUAGAGCUAAUACAUGCAAAAAACCCGAACUCACGAACGGGUGUAAUUAUUUGAAUUCAAACUAAUCAGGUUUCGGCCUGUUAAUUAAAUCGAUUGAAAAUACAUUUACGAAUCACGAUUUAAUUCUGUGAUGAUAAAAAU
rnacentral:rRNA from 1 species